UUCUUUAAUUAAAAAAAAAAAAAAAAAAAAAGGAAAAUGUUAGAAUGUGAGAAAUUCUAGAAAAUACUUAUUUUUAAAAACAACACUUGUUUUUAGUUUGCUUUGACUACCAUUCAUAGAAUGGUAGUAAUAGAACCUUGCAGCUGAUUACCUCAUACCAAUUUUUACUUCUGAGGAUUUAUGACAAUUAUCUCGCAGUACAAAGAGAUGAGUUUCUCUUGCAUACUGACAUUUUAAAACCUAGAUUUUCUUAAAAGACAAACUUAAAAAGCAUUUUUAAGCCACAAUUCUGUCUUAAAUUACUGUGUAUUUUAUAUCAUAGUAAUUGACAUGGUCAUUUUAUCAACUAGCGAUACAAUACUUUCACCCAUACGUGCAAAUUAAAGAUAUUGAACAACAAGCACCCAUGUGGCCAUGGCCCAAGUGUAAAUACGGGACACUGGUUGCCUGACACUGGCAGCCAUGAAGCCCUCAGUUUUCUCUGUCAGUGACAGCCACCUCCUUUACCCAGAGGUUCUGACUCUUGUGCUCAUUAGCUCCUUGGUUUUUGCUGUAGAUUCACCACCUACUAUAGCUUUUCCUAUUUUGAACUUUUAUUUAUCCUUGGGUGAUUUGCCUCUCAGUAAGUGGGAGUCAGCCUUGGUGUAGCUGGGAUCUUAUUUAUCUUCCCUUUGUUUAGCAUCCCAUUGCAUGGAUGGAUAUAUACUACAGGUUGCCCAUUCCCCACAGAUAAUCCGGUUUUUACUAUUACAAACUAUGCUGCUGUAUUUUUAUUGUAUGUCUCAUGGUACAUACAACUAGGGGUGUGGUCACUGGCUCACGGGGGCAUUUUCAGUUGCUUUAGUUAAUGCCCAUUUCCCAGUCAGCUUAUACUCCCAGAGGAGGGGAAGACUCCAUUCCCACAGUACCAAGGCUUGGUUUAUCAGACACUUUUAUUUUUGAAAAUCUCUUAAGUAUCGCGGGGCAAUUUUAAUUGGCAUUUCUCAUUACUAAUAAGGCUAACUGUAUUUUUGUAGGCCAUUUAGAUUUCUCAUUUCGUACUGUCCUUACUGGUCUUUCACACAUUUUUUCUCUCCCCGCCCAGCUGUAGUUCUCCAUGUAUUCUGAAUAGUUGACAUUGUAUAAAUGAUUACUGCAAAAUUUUUCCCAAUUUGUGGCCUGACUUAUUAUAUAUCUUUUGAUGAACAAAGUUCUUUCACUUCAAUGAAGUUGCAAUAUGAACCUCCUUUACAGUUAGCCUUUUUAUGGUUUAAGUUCUUUUUACCCUGAGGUCAUGGGUGAACUCUCCUCUAUUAUCUUAAAAUGGGUAAUAGUUUGCUUUUCAAAUCUAGGUUUUCAAUAAAUCUGGAAUUGUGUAUUGUAAGGUAGUAGUAAUCUGGGAAGAUUUUUUCCCAUGUGGCUAUCUAAUUGUGCCACCAUCUUUACUGAAGUGUAUCCCUUUGUUGCUGAUCUUCAGUUGCCUCCUCUGAGGUAUGUCAAUCCAUACAUUCCUGCAUCUGCCUGCCAGUUCUUUACACUAGUCUAAACUAGUACUCCAGCACUAACACACAGCUUACUCAUUACAGCUUGAUACCUGGAGGGGCAAACCCGCCCAUUUUGUUGCUCAAGCAAUCUUGACUCCUUCCAUUCCCCUGGGGCACUGUGGAAAAAAAUAACUGAGACGCCAAGGAUGAUGUUAACCGAAUUCAGGAACAUCUGCCACAUUCUGCCACUAAAAGAAAUCUUGAGAGCUAGUCUUUGCACCAAUUCCCAAGCAUAUAAGCCUAUGGUAGGUCACUCACUUUGCCUGAAUCUUCCUCAGUGGCAAAACAGAAACUGUACUACUACUAUGAAUAUUUGACUACUGAAGACUGAAAAUGAAAAUCCUGUAAAGUACAAUAUUCAGCCUGAAUGGAAAAAAUCUUAUAAAUGUUCACUAUGAGAAAAAUAGUCAAAUUAUUAAAAAGCAAGAUCUCACCGUUCUGAAAUCUCCUCUAAUAAUUCCAUAAGUUUUGCAGCCAAACCAAGGCGUCGAAAUUCUGGGGCAACAGAGAGAGCCGUGACAUGUCCGUGCCAUUCUUCCCUAGCUACAGAGCCUUCUGCUUUACCCAUAA